AAAGCACAGAAAUGCGGUUUCUCACAGUGCUGGAGGCUGGAAGUCCAAGAUCAAGGCCUUGGCAGGUUCCACACAGAACACAGAACAUGAACUCACAACCCUGAGAUCAAGACUUGAGCUGAGAUGUUUGUCUGCCAGAGCCACCCAGGCGUCCCAGCCAGUGCAGGUUUCUGGGAGGCCAGUUUGCAAACCAACAUGACACAGCCUUACACAGUCAAGAUUGCAUGAUCCACAGGGCCAGUCUCAGACCGAAGAGACCUUGCCCAAGGCCACAUAGCUCGGAA